GCGGGCGUCUUCCAACGGUCAGGAAGCUCGGCUUUCAACCGAGUAACGUGGGUUCGAUUCCCACCGUCCGCACCA
rnacentral:tRNA from 1 species